rnacentral:rRNA from 1 species
UAGCUACAGGCUUAACACAUGCAAGUCGAGGGGCAGCAUGGUCUUAGCUUGCUAAGGCUGAUGGCGACCGGCGCACGGGUGAGUAACACGUAUCCAACCUGCCGUCUACUCUUGGCCAGCCUUCUGAAAGGAAGAUUAAUCCAGGAUGGCAUCAUGAGUUCACAUGUCCGCAUGAUUAAAGGUAUUUUCCGGUAGACGAUGGGGAUGCGUUCCAUUAGAUAGUAGGCGGGGUAACGGCCCACCUAGUCAACGAUGGAUAGGGGUUCUGAGAGGAAGGUCCCCCACAUUGGAACUGAGACACGGUCCAAACUCCUACGGGAGGCAGCAGUGAGGAAUAUUGGUCAAUGGGCGAUGGCCUGAACCAGCCAAGUAGCGUGAAGGAUGACGG